AGAAAUUCGUCAAACAACUAUCGGAUGCGGAAGCUAAACCAUUCUUGGUUCUUGACUACGUUGAAGGUACAAAAUGGUUGCUUCCCCCUCCGACAGUACCUAAAUAAUUCAUUCAUUCCCAACUUUUUCAUGCCGGCAACGUAUACUCACAGUAUUGCUAAUUCAAGCAGACUCUCGUCUACCUCUUUGCUGGGUGGAAAUAACUAGCCAUCCAUUUUAUUUUAUUUAUUUUAUUUUCCCUUCCCAUGGCUUGUAUUUUAACAAAUAGCCAAAUGUCAAUAAGAAGCAGAAUUUAGUCUUAUUUUUAUUAAUAGUUAGGAUGUUGAUAUUUGCGAUUAUGUAGAAAAUUUCCAUCAUAUCAAGUUAAAAUUAUGUAAUAAUAUCCAUCAUAUAUCCAAGUUCAUUGAUUCAAUAAGUCAAGGUGAUUUCACAAACUUUUGCAUUUUAGCAAAUAAAUGGACCAUUACUGUAUAUUUGUGUAACAGCUCGUUUUCAGUAGUGUCAGAAAUAGUGGAUUUGGGACCACGAUUUUGACAAGCAGUCAGCAUUUUAAUUAAUUUUUCUUUGAUAAAAUUAUUUUAAUUAUUUAUUUAGUAUUUGCUGGGUUCAUGCCCCCGUUAAUGACUCCCUAGGGUUUAGGUUCUUCCUUUCCCAAACAGUUGAUCCGUUGAGUAGCCCUAUAAAACAGUUAACAAAUCAUACCUCCACUCGCUAAUCCCCAUAGAGGGGUCAGUUCCUCAUGGUUUUCAUAAAUAAUAUGGAAUUGAGUUAAAGAUAGAACAUGAUAAUUGAAUUGAGGUGUAGAGUUUAAAAAAGUACCUGAUUUGUAGUAAAGAUGAAUAUGAAUUCACAAAGUUUGAUCGUCUUUACAAAUCAGAUCUCUCGAGAUAAAGCAAGAACAACUUGAAAAUAAUUCUAAAAACCUAAAAGAAAGAAUAUCUGAACUGGAAUUAAAAGAAAAAAGAACUAUACUAAGUAAUUGAUGUCCGUAACAUGUGAAAAAAGAUCCUAUUUAUAGAUUUCAGGUGGCCUUCGUCGUCAAACCUAGGUUAGUUGAAGUUCUAGAGCUUUAAGUUUGAUUAUGCAAACCAAAACGCCCUCUGGCUCGUGUUAGUUUCCGUCCAGAGUCGAUGUCGCGAUACAUCAGGACCUGUGUCGCAACAAAGGAUUCUAUACACUCCUCUUGGGAUAUCUUUAGGGGUAUGUCGCAACACCCUUAUAUUGUGUCGCAACAUCGAAAGCAGUUUCGUGAUUUCUUUAUCCUGCUCCCUAAGUUGCUACAUUGAUCAUUUUGUGUUGAGACAUAGUGACCAGAAUCUGUUAAUUACUCUUUCUAAUGCUCUCCUGCAUACUUACACAGUUCAUUAGCUUCCCCUUAAACCUCAUCCAGCCCCUAAGGUUAAUAAAAGGCUCAAUUUGUACAUCACAUUACAUUUAAGAAGAGUUGCAAGAACAUAAUUAAAAUCUAACGAAAAUGCUUGCUUUCAACCUCCUAAAGUGCGGAAAUUAGUUUAAUCUACUACACGGAAUUACGGUAUGUCAAGUACACGACUUCAUGCUCGAAUCCACGAUUUAUAAUGUUAUUUAUAGCCCUUUUCACAUAAUUUUGGCUUUUUUUAAUAGCUAAAUCAAGUCAUUUUGUAAUAAUAUAUGUUUUUACAGGUUAAAUAGUUAACUUAGUUUUUUUUAAUAGAUUUUAUUGUAUUUGAUAGCUAAAAAAGGGUUAUGUGGUUCUAUAAGAUGAACCGAGAGUUAAUAAUGGAAUUUCAGGCCAAAACUGCUGCUGAUGUCGUGACCACAAAGUAUGGAAGUAAUAUAAAUAUUAACUUUGUUAAUUACCAUUUGAUUCUUUUUUAGUUAUAUAAAUACUUGCUUAAUUUAAAUCUGUUCCUAUAAAAUACUUUAAGAUGUAUUCCCUAUGUUUUAUAUAAUCACAACUUGUGUGAAAUUGCCGUAUAAAAUUUAUAUUUUUAUUUAGAAACUUAGUACGUUAUAGAUAUUUUAUGUUCGGUAUUGUGUUUCGUAGAUUCUAUCAACAAAUUUUUUCGACCUUUCACGAAUGAAAGAAAAGGAAACAUAAAACUUAAUUGGCAAUUUCCAAUUAGAAUCAAACUUUUCCUCAUUUAUAUAAACCUAAUAGAUAAUUAAUUUAGUAAUAACUUCAAAAUAAACAAGUAAGUAUUAACGGGGCAACAAAUGAAGGCAACAACAUAAAAUAUUUCCAUUCCUUACAUUAAAUUCACCCGGUUUAGGUUUUGCACUUAGGAUUAUUGUUCAAUGAUCAUGGGUGUCUGAAGUCCAAAUUCCGUGUAUUUGGCAACAAUUAUAUUCAAUUUAUACUCAUUAAUGGCGAUCAACUGCCAAAUGCUCGGUCUGAACUGUAGCAAUGCUUGCACCAAGAACUACGCAAAUGAGUGGCAAUGCGAGGAAUCCUCCAAGUCUCAUUUGUUUUAAUACUUUUUUUGUCACCAAUUUAUCUUAUAAAUUGGAGUCACUUAGAAUUCAAAGACAACCUCAAUAAUCAAUAAACGAAGAAAAUAAACAAAUUACUCUUUUUAUUAAAAGGAAAGAAGGAGGAGGAGGAAAUGGAUGGAAAAAGAAUCGAGGGCAAUGAAGUUUAUGCUCUAGCAAUGUGUGUAAGUAUUCUCCUCUUUGCUCCGAUUGUUGUGUCACAACCAAUACCGGCAGAUAAAUCCCAAGUGGAAGCUUGGUUUAAUGGCAUUAUCAAGCCGGUGAAGGAAAGGGGUACAACCUUAGACCCUGAAUUGGUUCAAGCCGAGACAGAACCUAGAAUCAUAAAGGUGAUGCAAGGUGGGGGUGGAGAAUUCGAUACCAUAACCAAAGCCAUCGAGAGCGUUCCAUCAGGGAACGCCAAACGCGUGAUUAUAUCCAUCGGACCUGGAUCUUACAAAGAGAAAAUUAGAAUUGAAAGAAAUAAGCCUUUCAUUACAUUGUUAGGAGAUCCUAAAAACAUGCCAAAUUUGACAUUUGACGGCACCGCCAAGCAAUAUGGAACCGUAGAUAGUGCCACUCUUAUUACUGAGAGUAAUUACUUUGUGGGUGCUAAUCUCAAUAUAGUGGUAAGUUAAUGUAGAGUUUAGACAACCAUGAUCUGUCCUUUAUUGAAUUGAUUAUUAAAGGGAUUUUUUUUUAUGGUGGCAUGUUAUGCAUAUAGAACUCUGCUCCAAGGCCAGACGGGAAAAUGGUAGGAGCACAGGCGGUUGCUCUGAGAGUCUCCGGCGACAGGUCGGCUUUCUAUAACUGCAAGAUCAUUGGCUUCCAGGACACUUUGUGCGAUGACAGGGGCAACCAUUUCUUUAAGGAUUGCCAUAUUCGUGGCACUGUUGAUUUCAUUUUCGGAAGCGGGACAUCUUUAUAUCUGGUAUUCAUAUUCCCAAUGCGUGAAAUAUGAUGUAUUAUACCCCCAUAUAUAUAUUUGACAAGAAAAGUGGGAUGCAGAACACGGAAAUAUUCGUGGUAGGAGAUCCAGAAGGAGAUCCGGAAAUGGCAAUAAUUACAGCACAUGCGCGAGAAAGUUCAUCGGAGGACACGGGUUAUUCGUUCGUGCAUGGCAGAAUUACAGGAACAGCGAAGGACGUAUUUUUGGGCAGGGCCUGGAAGAGCAGUCCGAGGGUUGUUUAUUCUUAUACUGAAAUGGACGAAAUCGUCCAUCCUGGUGGAUGGUCUAGUAAUCGCCAACCUGAACGAGCCGAGUAAGAUAAUACUCAGCCUUACAACGUUACAUGCCUACAAGUAAACUAAUCUUUCCCAACUUAUUGAUAAAUUUAUUAAGAUAUAUAAUGUGAGAAUGGUUUGACACGCAGCACUGUGUACUACGGAGAAUACAAAUGCACGGGGAAAGGCGCGACUCCUGCUACACGAGAGAAAUUCGUCAAACAACUAUCGGAUGCGGAAGCUAAACCAUUCUUGGUUCUUGACUACGUUGAAGGUACAAAAUGGUUGCUUCCCCCUCCGACAGUACCUAAAUAAUUCAUUCAUUCCCAACUUUUUCAUGCCGGCAACGUAUACUCACAGUAUUGCUAAUUCAAGCAGACUCUCGUCUACCUCUUUGCUGGGUGGAAAUAACUAGCCAUCCAUUUUAUUUUAUUUAUUUUAUUUUCCCUUCCC
rnacentral:lncRNA from 1 species